UACGAAGGGGGCUAGCGUUGCUCGGAAUCACUGGGCGUAAAGCGCACGUAGGCGGAUUGCUAAGUCAGGGGUGAAAUCCUUCAGCUUAACUGGAGAAGUGCCGUGGAUACUGUCGGUCUCGAGGAGGAUAGGGGCAUCUGGAACUGCCGGUGGAGCGGUGAAAUGCGUUGAUAUCGGCAGGAACUCCGGUGGCGAAGGCGAGAUGCUGGAUCCUUUCUGACGCUGAGGCGCGAAAGCCAGGGGAGCAAACGGG
rnacentral:rRNA from 1 species